ensembl:snRNA U6 U6 spliceosomal RNA
GUGUUUAAUUCGGCAGCACAUAUGCUAAAAUUGGAAUGAUACAGAGAAGAUUAGCAUGGCCUCUGCACAAGGAGAACAUACAAAUUCAAGAAGUGUUCUAUAUUUUU